rnacentral:rRNA from 1 species
UGGGGAAUUUUGGACAAUGGGCGCAAGCCUGAUCCAGCCAUGCCGCGUGCGGGAAGAAGGCCUUCGGGUUGUAAACCGCUUUUGUCAGGGAAGAAAUCUUCUGAGUUAAUACCUCGGGAGGAUGACGGUACCUGAAGAAUAAGCACCGGCUAACUACGUGCCAGCAGCCGCGGUAAUACGUAGGGUGCAAGCGUUAAUCGGAAUUACUGGGCGUAAAGCGUGCGCAGGCGGUUUUGUAAGACAGAGGUGAAAUCCCCGGGCUCAACCUGGGAACUGCCUUUGUGACUGCAAGGCUUGAGUGCGGCAGAGGGGGAUGGAAUUCCGCGUGUAGCAGUGAAAUGCGUAGAUAUGCGGAGGAAACACCGAUGGCGAAGGCAAUCCCCUGGGCCUGCACUGACGCUCAUGCACGAAAGCGUGGGGAGCAAACAGGAUUAGAUACCCUGGUAGUCCACGCCCUAAACGAUGUCAACUGGUUGUUGGGAAGGUUCCUUCUCAGUAACGUAGCUAACGCGUGAAGUUGACCGCCUGGGGAGUACGGCCGCAAGGUUG